rnacentral:rRNA from 1 species
UACGAAGGGGGCUAGCGUUGCUCGGAAUCACUGGGCGUAAAGCGCACGUAGGCGGAUUGCUAAGUCAGGGGUGAAAGCCCAAGGCUCAACCUUGGAAUUGCCUUUGAUACUGAGGAUCUCGAGACCGGAAGAGGUAAGUGGAACUGCGAGUGUAGAGGUGAAAUUCGUAGAUAUUCGCAAGAACACCAGUGGCGAAGGCGGCUUACUGGUCCGGUUCUGACGCUGAGGCGCGAAAGCGUGGGGAGCAAACAGG